rnacentral:tRNA from 2 species
AGGGCAGUAGCUCUAAUUGGUAGAGCAUCGGACUCCAAAUCCGAGUGUUGGGGGUUCGAAUCCCUCCUGCCCUGCCA